GUGCCAGCAGCCGCGGUAACACGGGGGACGCAAGCGUUAUUCGGAAUUAUUGGGCGUAAAGGGCGUGUAGGCGGUCUUAUCGGUCAGAUAUGAAAGCCCAGGGCUCAACCCUGGACGUGCAUUUGAAACAGUAAGACUUGAGUACUGAAGAGGAAAGCGGAAUUCCUGGUGUAGAGGUGAAAUUCGUAGAUAUCAGGAGGAACACCGAUGGCGAAGGCAGCUUUCUGGACAGGAACUGACGCUGAUGCGCGAAGGCGUGAGUAGCGAACAGGAUUAGAUACCCUGGUAGUCCACGCAGUAAACGAUGUACACUAGGUGUAGGGGAUAUUAAAAUUUUCUGUGCCGCAGUUAACGCAUUAAGUGUACCGCCUGGGGAGUACGGUCGCAAGACUAAAACUCAAAGGAAUUGACGGGGGCCCGCACAAGCGGUGGAGCAUGUGGUUUAAUUCGACGCAACGCGAAGAACCUUACCUGGGUUUG
rnacentral:rRNA from 1 species